rnacentral:rRNA from 1 species
UGGGGAAUAUUGCGCAAUGGGGGGAACCCUGACGCAGCCAUGNCGCGUGAAUGAAGAAGGCCUUCGGGUUGUAAAGUUCUUUCGGUAUUGAGGAAGGUUGAUGUGUUAAUAGCACAUCAAAUUGACGUUAAAUACAGAAGAAGCACCGGCUAACUCCGUGCCAGCAGCCGCGGUAAUUANGAGAGGGUGCGAGCGUUAAUCGGAAUAACUGGGCGUAAAGGGCACGCAGGCGGUUAUUUAAGUGAGGUGUGAAAGCCCCGGGCUUAACCUGGGAAUUGCAUUUCAGACUGGGUAACUAGAGUACUUUAGGGAGGGGUAGAAAUUCCCCGGGUAGGCGGUGAAAUGCGUAGAGAUGUGGAGGAAUACCGAAGGCGAAGGCAGCCCCUUGGGAAUGUACUGACGCUCAUGUGCGAAAGCGUGGGGAGCAAACAGGAUUAGAUACCCUGGUAGUCCACGCUGUAAACGCUGUCGAUUUGGGGGUUGGGGUUUAACUCUGGCGCCCGUAGCUNACGUGAUAAAUCGACCGCCUGGGGAGUACGGCCGCAAGNUU